rnacentral:ncRNA from 1 species
CCCGCUGAACUUAAGCAUAUUAAUAAGCGGAGGAAAAGAAACUAACAAGGAUUCCCCUAGUAACGGCGAGUGAAGCGGGAAGAGCUCAAGCUUAAAAUCUCCGUGCAAGUUUUGCGCGGCGAAUUGUAGUCUAUAGAGGCGUGAUCAGUGUGGGCGCUUGGGGCAAGUUUCUUGGAAGAGGACAGCAUGGAGGGUGAUACUCCCGUUCAUCCCUGAGUUGCUCGUGCGUUCGAUCCGGUUUCUUUGAGUCGCGUUGUUUGGGAAUUCAGCGCAAAGUAGGUGGUAAAUUCCAUCUAAAGCUAAAUAUUUGUGCGAGACCGAUAGCGAACAAGUACCGUGAGGGAAAGAUGAAAAGAACUUUGAAAAGAGAGUUAAAGAGUACCUGAAACUGCUGAAAGGGAACCGAAUCGUUUCCCAGUGUCUAUAAUCCGUGGUAUAUUUCAUUGGCGAGUGUGUGCGUGCGUGUGCUGUGGCAGCGGCUUUUUUGGCUGCGCUCGGCGUGUGUGCUGUGUGUGCUUGCUGGUGCCCUGUGCUGCGGUGGGACGUCAAGGUCAGUUCGUAUGCUGCGGGAAAUGGCCGCCGAGGAGGUAGGGCUUACGCUUGCGUUUGUCUGUUAUAUCUUGGUGGACGAGUAGUCGCGGUUGGGACUGAGGUGCCUACAACGUGUUUUUGAGUGGGCCUGUGUCUCUGUGUGCGCCGUGUGCGGAUAGCUUGCUAUGCGUGUGUGGUUGUGUGUGGAUUGAUGUGGGUUUUAACUUGUUGCCGUUCGGGACGUUGACGAAAUGGAGCGAUUUGACCCGUCUUGAAACACGGACCAAGGAGUCUAACAUGUGUGCAAGUGUUAGGGUGUGGAAACCCCAGCGCGAAAUGAAAGUGAAGGGCAGCGUAAGUUGUCUGAGGUAGGAAAUGCUGCGGGCUUCGGUCUGCGGUGUGGCACUAUCGACCGAUCAUGAACCUUCGUGGUGAAAGAUUUGAGUUUGAGCACAUAUGUUGGUACCCGAAAGAUGGUGAACUAUGCCUGAGUAGGGUGAAGCCAGGGGAAACUCUGGUGGAAGCUCGUAGCGAUUCUGACGUGCAAAUCGAUCGUCAAACUUGGGUAUAGGGGCGAAAGACUAAUCGAACCAUCUAGUAGCUGGUUCCCUCCGAAAUUUCCCUCAGGAUAGCAGCAACUUAUUACGAUAGUUUUAUGAGUAAAGCGAAUGAUUAGAGAUUCGGGGAAGAAACUUCCUCGACCUAUUCUCAAACUUUAAAUCUGUAAGACCUGCAGUUUCUUAAUUGAAACUUGUGGAAAUGUGAAUAUCAGAGUGCUAGUGGGCCCAUUACGGGUUAGUCUUCUUCUGGCGAUGGCGGAGAUGAAACGCAAAGCCAGAGUUAAGAGUGCCCAAAAUGCUCGUCUCCACUUAGAUACACAUAAAAGGUGUGGGUUUACAUUGAGACAGCAGGAGCGUGAUCCAUGGGAAUUGGAAUUCGUUAGAGAGGUGUGUAAACAACUCCACUGGCGAAUGUAAAACUGAGCCCUGAAAAUGGAUGGCGCUAAAGCCGGGCUACUUUAUACUUUGCCGUUAGCGCGAUAGCAUUUAUAAUGUACGCGUUAAUGAGUAGGAGGGCGUGAAGGUCGUGAAGAAGCUCGUGGCGUGAGCCUGAGUGAAACGGCCUUUAGUGCAGAUCUUGGUGGUAGUAGCAAAUAUUCAAAUGCGAACUUUGAAGACUGAAGUGGAGAAAGGUUCCGUGUGAUCAGUAAUUGGACACGGGUGAGUCGAUCCUAAGAGAUAGGAUAAUUCCGUUUGAAAGCUGGGCUGUUUGAGGCGUGGGGUUCGUCCUUGCGUUUUGUAUGCAGCCUCGUGUAUCGAAAGGGAAUCAGGUUAAUAUUCCUGAACCGAGACGUGGAUAAUAUGUGGUAACACAACCGACCCAGGAGACGCUAGCGUGUGCCCAGGGAAGAGUUCUCUUUUCUUUUUAACAAGCAUAUCCUACCUUGGAAACGGAUUAUCCGGCGAUAAGGAGGAUGCCUUGGCAAAGCACUUUACUUUUUGAAGUGUCCUGCGCGCCCACGACAGCCCUUGAAAAUCCUGGCUAGAGAUUUAUUCGCACCCUCGUUCGUACUCAUAACCGCAUCAGGUCUCCAAGGUUAGCAGCCUCUAGUU